AUUGAACGCUGGCGGCAGGCCUAACACAUGCAAGUCGAGCGAGCGGCGGACGGGUGAGUAAUGUAUGGGGACUGCCCGAUAGAGGGGGAUAACUACUGGAAAAGGUAGCUAAUACCGCAUACUAUCGGAUAACCCAUAUGGGAUUAGCUAGUAGGUGAGGUAAUGGCGCCCCUAGGCGACGAUCCCUAGCUGGUCUGAGAGGGUGCUCAGACACACGUGGACGUAGACACGGCCCAGACUCCUACGGAGGCAGCAGUGGGGAAUAUUGCCCAAUGGGCGCAAGCCUGAUGCAGCCAUGACGCGGGUAUGAAGAAGGCCCUAGGGUUGUAAAGUACUUUCAGUCGGGAGGCGUUACCGACAGAAGAAGCACCGGCUAACUCCGUGCCAGCCGCCGCGGUAAUUC
rnacentral:rRNA from 1 species